AUUGAACGCUGGCGGCAUGCCUUACACAUGCAAGUCGAACGGCAGCAUAGGAGCUUGCUCCUGAUGGCGAGUGGCGAACGGGUGAGUAAUAUAUCGGAACGUGCCCUAGAGUGGGGGAUAACUAGUCGAAAGACUAGCUAAUACCGCAUACGAUCUACGGAUGAAAGUGGGGGAUCGCAAGACCUCAUGCUCCUGGACCGGCCGAAAUCUGAUUAGCUAGUUGGUGGGGUAAAAGCUCACCAAGGCGACGAUCAGUAGCUGGUCUGAGAGGACGACCAGCCACACUGGGACUGAGACACGGCCCAGACUCCUACGGGAGGCAGCAGUGGGGAAUUUUGGACAAGGGGGGCAACCCUGAUCCAGCAAUGCCGCGUGAGUGAAGAAGGCCUUCGGGUUGUAAAGCUCUUUUGUCAGGGAAGAAACGGUUCUGGAUAAUACCUGGAGCUAAUGACGGUACCUGAAGAAUAAGCACCGGCUAACUACGUGCCAGCAGCCGCCGUAA
rnacentral:rRNA from 1 species